GGCUGAUCCAAAGGUAGAGAAUUAUCUCAGUUGAUUGUUCACAGUCAGUUACAGAUCAAGCUCCUUGUUGUGUUCUUCUCCCUCUUCUCACUACUUUACUUGACUAGUCUUAA
rnacentral:Y_RNA from 1 species